rnacentral:rRNA from 1 species
GUGAGUAACGCGUAGGAAUAUGCCUUGAAGAGGGGGACAACUUGGGGAAACUCAAGCUAAUACCGCAUAAUGUCUGAGGACGAAAGCUGGGGACCUUCGGGCCUGGCGCUUUAAGAUUAGCCUGCGUCCGAUUAGCUAGUUGGUGGGGUAAGGGCCUACCAAGGCGACGAUCGGUAGCUGGUCUGAGAGGAUGACCAGCCACACUGGAACUGAGACACGGUCCAGACUCCUACGGGAGGCAGCAGUGGGGAAUAUUGGACAAUGGGGGCAACCCUGAUCCAGCAAUGCCGCGUGUGUGAAGAAGGCCUGAGGGUUGUAAAGCACUUUCAGUGGGGAGGAGGGUUGAUAGGUUAAGAGCUAAUUAACUGGACGUUACCCACAGAAGAAGCACCGGCUAACUCCGUGCCAGCAGCCGCGGUAAUACGGAGGGUGCGAGCGUUAAUCGGAAUUACUGGGCGUAAAGGGUGCGUAGGUGGUUGAUUAAGUUAUCUGUGAAAUUCCUGGGCUUAACCUGGGACGGUCAGAUAAUACUGGUUGACUCGAGUAUGGGAGAGGGUAGUGGAAUUUCCGGUGUAGCGGUGAAAUGCGUAGAGAUCGGAAGGAACACCAGUGGCGAAGGCGGCUACCU